rnacentral:rRNA from 1 species
UAUGGUAUGCCAGCCGCCGCGGUAAUACGUAUGGAGCAAGCGUUAUCCGGAUUUACUGGGUGUAAAGGGAGUGUAGGUGGCCAUGCAAGUCAGAAGUGAAAAUCCGGGGCUCAACCCCGGAACUGCUUUUGAAACUGUGAGGCUGGAGUGCAGGAGGGGUGAGUGGAAUUCCUAGUGUAGCGGUGAAAUGCGUAGAUAUUAGGAGGAACACCAGUGGCGAAGGCGGCUCACUGGACUGUAACUGACACUGAGGCUCGAAAGCGUGGGGAGCAAACAGG